GAUGAACGCUGGCGGCGUGCCUAAUACAUGCCAGUCGAGCGAACGGACGAGAAGCUUGCUUCUCUGAUGUUAGCGGCGGACGGGUGAGUAACACGUGGAUAACCUACCUAUAAGACUGGGAUAACUUCGGGAAACCGGAGCUAAUACCGGAUAAUAUUUUGAACCGCAUGGUUCAAAAGUGAAAGACGGUCUCGCUGUCACUUAUAGAUGGAUCCGCGCUGCAUUAGCUAGUUGGUAAGGUAACGGCUUACCAAGGCAACGAUGCAUAGCCGACCUGAGAGGGUGAUCGGCCACACUGGAACUGAGACACGGUCCAGACUCCUACGGGAGGCAGCAGUAGGGAAUCUUCCGCAAUGGGCGAAAGCCUGACGGAGCAACGCCGCGUGAGUGAUGAAGGUCUUCGGAUCGUAAAACUCUGUUAUUAGGGAAGAACAUAUGUGUAAGUAACUGUGCACAUCUUGACGGUACCUAAUCAGAAAGCCACGGCUAACUACGUG
rnacentral:rRNA from 1 species